rnacentral:tRNA from 1 species
GAAGGUAUAGCUCAAGUGGUACAGUGCAUGCUUAGUAUGCAGAAGGUCCGGGGUUCAAUCCCCAGUACUUUCU